rnacentral:sRNA from 1 species
AACUGUAUAUUAUUCGCGCAGCUCGAUGCUUUAUAGCCUAUUUAUGCACGUCAUUUCGAAGUCUUUACUGUUCCUCGUCCUGUUUUCAUAAGUACAACGUAAACAUUUUGCAUUUCUUGACCCUUUUAGGGGUUACACUAAUUUCCGAAAAUAGGAUAAAUAAUUAUGUCUAAUACAACGACUGGCACAGUUAAAUGGUUCAACGAUGAGAAAGGUUUUGGUUUCAUCGAGCAGCAGUCUGGCCCAGAUGUUUUCGCACACUUCAGCGCAAUCGCUGGCGAUGGUUUCAAAAGCCUUCAGGAAGGUCAGCAGGUAGAAUUCACUGUUGCUCAGGGCCAGAAAGGUCCUCAGGCAGAGAACAUUCGUCCUCUAUAAGUUUUAAAUUGUUUCAUACAAUUUAAAACACAGGGAGCAUGGCUGAUGCUAUGUUCCCUUGU